UAAUACAGGGACUCAAACUCGGCACGUUC
rnacentral:piRNA from 1 species